rnacentral:rRNA from 1 species
UACAGAGGCCCCGAGCGUUAGGCGGAAUCACUGGGCUUAAAGCGUGUGUAGGCGGACCGGUAAGUCCCUUGUGAAAUCCCACAGCUUAACUGUGGAACUGCUUGGUAUACUGGGUGUCUUGAGCCACUUAGGGGCGACCGGAACAAAUGGUGGAGCGGUGAAAUGCGCAGAUAUCAUUUGGAACGCCAAUGGUGAAAACAGGUCGCUGGGAGUGUGCUGACGCUGAGACACGAAAGCCAGGGGAGCAAACGGG